GACGAACGCUGGCGGCGUGCUUAACACAUGCAAGUCGAACGGAAAGGCCCUGCUUUUGUGGGGUGCUCGAGUGGCGAACGGGUGAGUAACACGUGAGUAACCUGCCCUUGACUUUGGGAUAACUUCAGGAAACUGGGGCUAAUACCGGAUAGGAGCUCCUGCUGCAUGGUGGGGGUUGGAAAGUUUCGGCGGUUGGGGCUGGACUCGCGGCUUAUCAGCUUGUUGGUGGGGUAGUGGCUUACCAAGGCUUUGACGGGUAGCCGGCCUGGGAGGGUGACCGGCCACAUUGGGACUGAGAGACGGCCCAGACUCCUACGGGAGGCAGCAGUGGGGAAUAUUGCGCAAUGGGCGGAAGCCUGAUGCAGCAACGCCGCGUGCGGGAUGACGGCCUUCGGGUUGUAAACCGCUUUCGCCUGUGACGAAGCGUGAGUGACGGUAAUGGGUAAAGAAGCACCGGCUAACUACGUG
rnacentral:rRNA from 1 species